UAUGGUAUGGGCCAGCCGCCGCGGUAAUACGGAAGGUCCGGGCGUUAUCCGGAUUUAUUGGGUUUAAAGGGAGCGUAGGCCGGAGAUUAAGCGUGUUGUGAAAUGUAGAUGCUCAACAUCUGCACUGCAGCGCGAACUGGUUUCCUUGAGUACGCACAAAGUGGGCGGAAUUCGUGGUGUAGCGGUGAAAUGCUUAGAUAUCACGAAGAACUCCGAUUGCGAAGGCAGCUCACUGGAGCGCAACUGACGCUGAAGCUCGAAAGUGCGGGUAUCGAACAGG
rnacentral:rRNA from 1 species